rfam:Gossypium arboreum cultivar AKA8401 contig_4598_1, whole genome shotgun sequence.
AAUCCAUGGGGAGGGCACCUUAUUAAUAGGCCCUUGUAUCUCUCUUACGCAUCAUACAGGGUUUCUAGAUCCAUCUGCACAAAAGAGGAGAUAUCAUUCCUUAGUUU